AUGGGGUCGUGUUCAUCGUGCUCAUCGUGUUCAUCGUGCCCCUGGUGCUCACGGGCGGAGUCCACGGACACGGCUGUGGAGGCCGCAGGGAUGGUUGCGGGGGCCGGAUGUGCAGAGGGGCCUGUGAAGGUCGUCGUGUUUGGGACUGAGGAGAAGACAUGGACCAUCGAGCUGUGCGACACUGAGGAGCAGUUUCAGAGCAUCACAGUGCUGCAGCUGAAGGAAAAGUUCAAAGAGAGGCUUAUUGCUGAAGAUCCUACGCGCUCCUGUUUCACGGGUCUACGACUAUCCUUUAAGGACAAGAAACUGGACAAAGACUCCAUGCUGCUGUCUGGACGUGGAAUCCAACACAUGUCGGUCAUUCACAUAAUGCCCAAUAUUAAUUCCGAUAGCUGCCCAAGUGACAGUAAGGAGGUGAUACCUGAUUUUUAAACUAACUCAGGGCUCACAUUCUGGGCCCUCCUUGUUUUGUUCCUUAUUUCAUUCUUAACCAAAAGAGCUCAGAGUCACUACUGUUUACCAUCCAGCUUCAUGACACUUCACUGACCUUUGUGCCCCGGACAGUGAAGUAACAUGACCUGAAGUCUACUACUGCCACCUCGUGGUCCUUAGGUUAAAAGCUGACUACUUUUCAGAACACCCUCUUUGUUUUGAGUUAACACAAUUAUAAGCAAUUUAGCAACCAUUUCAAAGCAACGAACUAACACUGAUAAACUGAUUACUUCAACAAAUGUCACUGUGGGUGUCGGCAUUUCGCCAAAAUGUUACAGAAUUACACAUUUUAGACACUUACACACUUGCCCUGUGUUUCUGGACUUGUGUAUGUUCAUUAUUUUUCUGUUGUUUCACCUGCUGUGUGACCAAAAAGUGUGGCUGCAAACCAAAUGACGGAUCAAAAGAAUUCUAACCAGCAAACUGUAAAUAUUUGUGAUAAUCUAAUUAAAAACAGGCUGUCUGACUGCCAGACUCUGUAAAGGGGAAUUCACUUUCUGCGGCCCUAGGGAAAAGGAGAUUAAUAACUCUAAAAAAAUGUAAGGGAGAGCAUUUACAGCUAAAACAUUUUAAAUACAAAGUUUCAUUAGCAGUGGUGGUGGUGUAUUGGUGAGGGGUUAGCGCGACUUUGCAGGAUCUUUUGUUUUUAUUCACUUUAAUCGCAAGUGUUUGCUCGCCCCCACGAUCCUGAUUACUGUUCAUUACCAGUAAGAUGACGAGCAUCGGCACGCAAUCCGAUGUGACUCCAGGUGUUUAUUCCUCCAGCAGGUCUGGCUCUGCACCCGACUCUGCUCCAGUGUAGCGAGGCCGCAGGUCUCGAACCACCCAACACUUGGCAAAUAUCUUUUUGUUGUAAUGCUUCUGUUAGUCCUCCAUGCAAUCGACCGCAUUAUUUUCAUGUUGAUUUAUCAUGUACCGUAAGAAAUUGACCAGAUGUGUCAAACUUAACUCUCACGUGCUUCCCCUCAGAUUAAACAGCCGGACAUUCUCUAGCAAACACAUCUGGACUGUUGAGACCUCUGGUUGUCUGUCUCGUCCAAACCCAGGGCAUUUUCUGCAGAUGUAACGAGCAAAAAAAUGCAUCUGUCAACUUUACCCUCGCAAGCACCAAAGACAUAAUAAAUUAAACCUUCACUGGUACGGAUAGAUCAGACAGAUGUUAUACAUUAACACAUUUUCAACGAAUAAACCUCAAAACCGGGAAACAUUUCCACCCCCCGAUACCUUCACCCCUGCUCUCUCCUGUUCCUACAUCCUUAAAUCUGAAAGUGUGUUGUGUGAUAAAAAUGUGAACAUAUUGCUCAUUUUAUAUUACUUAUUUCAGUAUUUAGCAAACACACAAGGGUUCCGGUGCUUCUGUUCAUACCCCUUGCAAUGUUUGCACUCAUGAGACUUUUAAGGCCUCAGUAUGAAACCAAAGCAUUUUCUAAAGUCUCACUGAAUGUGAUCAGCCCGAGGAAGACGUGAAUGUGUUUUUAAAAUGUGUCAUUCUGUUUGUAGGUCAAAGGGUUCUUCAUUUAAAAAACAUGUUAAAAUGUGAUUUUGUACAUUUCUAUGACUUUAUUGGAUGAUAAACC
ensembl:lncRNA